CCUACGGGAGGCAGCAGUGGGGAAUAUUGGGCAAUGGGCGGAAGCCUGACCCAGCAACGCAGCGUGAGGGAAGAAGGCUUUCGGGAUGUAAAGCUCUUUUGUCAGGGAGGAAGGAAGUGACGGUACCUGACGAAUAAGCCACGGCUAACUACGAGCAAGCAGCCGCGGUAAUACGUAGGGGGCAAGCGUUAUCCGGAUUUAGUGGGUUUAAAGGGCGCGUAGGCGGGAAUGCAAGUCAGACGUGAAAAUCAGGGGCUCAACCCUGGGCCUGCUUUGGAAACUGUAUGUCUUGAGUGCUGGAGAGGCAAGCGGAAUUCCGGGUGUAGCGGUGAAAUGCUUAGAUAUACGGAGGAACACCAGUGGCGAAGGCGGCUUGCUGGACUGUAACUGACGCUGAGGCGCGAAAGCGUGGGGAGCAAACAGGAUUAGAUACCCCUGUAGUC
rnacentral:rRNA from 1 species